rnacentral:rRNA from 1 species
AUACGGAGGGAGCGAGCGUUAAUCGGAAUUACUGGGCGUAAAGCGCGCGUAGGCGGCUUUGUAAGUCGGAUGUGAAAGCCCUGGGCUCAACCUGGGAAUUGCAUUCGAUACUGCAGAGCUAGAGUAUGGUAGAGGGAAGUGGAAUUUCCGGUGUAGCGGUGAAAUGCGUAGAUAUCGGAAGGAACACCAGUGGCGAAGGCGACUUCCUGGGCCAAUACUGACGCUGAGGUGCGAAAGCGUGGGGAGCAAACAGGAUUAGAUACCCCGGUAGUCC